rnacentral:rRNA from 1 species
GAACCUACCUACUCUUGACAUCCAGAGAAUUUGCUAGAGAUAGCUUAGUGCCUUCGGGAACUCUGAGACAGGUGCUGCAUGGCUGUCGUCAGCUCGUGUUGUGAAAUGUUGGGUUAAGUCCCGCAACGAGCGCAACCCUUAUCCUUUGUUGCCAGCGAGUAAUGUCGGGAACUCAAAGGAGACUGCCGGUGAUAAACCGGAGGAAGGUGGGAUGACGUCAAGUCAUCAUGGCCCUUACGAGUAGGGCUACACACGUGCUACAAUGGCAUAUACAAAGAGAAGCGAACUCGCGAGAGCAAGCGGACCUCAUAAAGUAUGUCGUAGUCCGGAUUGGAGUCUGCAACUCGACUCCAUGAAGUCGGAAUCGCUAGUAAUCGUAGAUCAGAAUGCUACGGUGAAUACGUUCCCGGGCCUU